GCGCCCGUAGCUCAGUUGGAUUAGAGUACCAGGCUACGAACUUGGGGGUCGGGAGUUCGAAUCUCUCCGGGCGCG
rnacentral:tRNA from 1 species